UACGAAAAACAUUGCCUCAUUUUAGAAAACUUUUGGAUAAAAUAUGACAAUUAAAUGAAAUAUAUUUUUUUAAAUAAUGAUUUGAGUAAAAUUUAAAAAAAUAAUUUACUAAGAGUAAUACUAAAAAAAUUAUUAAAAAAUGAAAUAGUUUGAUAUGAUACUAAAAUUAUUAAAAAAUUAAAAAAUAUAUAAAAAAAUCAGGGAAACAUGGAUUAAAUCAAAAUAAAAAGGGUUGAAAAACAAAGAUGAACAAAGAAUAAAAUAAGAACAAACCGUAGAAAAUAAGAACGUAAGAAGGAGAGAAAUUUGAG
rnacentral:lncRNA from 1 species